AGAGUUUGAUCCUGGCUCAGAACGAACGCUGGCGGCGUGGAUAAGACAUGCAAGUCGAGCGGGAUUUUUUCUUGUAGCAAUACAGGGAAAAGUCUAGCGGCGAACGGGUGCUUAACACGUGGGCAACCUGCCAAGAAGUGGGGGAUAGCUCGCCGAAAGGCGAAUUAAUACCGCAUGUGAUCAGAGUGGACAUCCAUUCAAAAUCAAAGUCGGGGCAACCUGACGCUUCUUGAGGGGCCCGCGGCCUAUCAGCUAGUUGGUGGGGUAACGGCCCACCAAGGCUUAGACGGGUAGCUGGUCUGAGAGGACGACCAGCCACACUGGGACUGAGACACGGCCCAGACACCUACGGGUGGCAGCAGUCGAGAAUUUUUCUCAAUGGGGGAAACCCUGAAGGAGCGACGCCGCGUGGAGGAUGAAGGUCUUCGGAUUGUAAACUCCUGUCAUUGGGGAACAAUGCGCAAAUAUUAACUGUAUUUGCGUUGAUAGUACCCGAAGAGGAAGAGACGGCUAACUCUGUGCCAGCAGCCGCGGUAAUACAGAGGUCUCAAGCGUUGUUCGGAUUCAUUGGGCGUAAAGGGUGCGUAGGCGGCGCGGUAAGUCGGGUGUGAAAUCUCGGAGCUUAACUCCGAAACUGCAUUCGAUACUGCCGUGCUUGAGGACUGGAGAGGAGACUGGAAUUUACGGUGUAGCGGUGAAAUGCGUAGAUAUCGUAAGGAAGACCAGUGGCGAAGGCGGGUCUCUGGACAGUUCCUGACGCUGAGGCACGAAGGCCAGGGGAGCAAACGGGAUUAGAUACCCCAGUAGUCC
rnacentral:rRNA from 1 species